GGUAUCGUUGCACCCGGUUGCACCACGGUGCCCACGUGACGGGAACCUCACUCUUCAAUGAGAGCUCAGCAACCAGCUGUUCUUGGAGAGAGGAGCUGCGAUUUCUCCUCUUGCAAGAGUCGAAGGUUAGCAGAACGUAUCAUCUCAUAUCAGCAAGUCCAAGAAUGAUGUACCAGUACAGCCCAACUUGAAUAUAUUCCCAACACUUUUGAUGGGGGGCAGAAGACGGAGCUUCAGGCCAAACUGUCCCCUCCCCAGGCCAGCUGCAGAACAGGGUCCAGAGCGUCGGGAACUUCUCCC